CGGGUUGUAAAGCACUUUUGUCCGGAAAGAAAACCUCCGUCCUAAUACGGUGGGGGGAUGACGGUACCGGAAGAAUAAGCACCGGCUAACUACGUGCCAGCAGCCGCGGUAAUACGUAGGGUGCAAGCGUUAAUCGGAAUUACUGGGCGUAAAGCGUGCGCAGGCGGUUCGCUAAGACCGAUGUGAAAUCCCCGGGCUUAACCUGGGAACUGCAUUGGUGACUGGCGGGCUAGAGUAUGGCAGAGGGGGGUAGAAUUCCACGUGUAGCAGUGAAAUGCGUAGAGAUGUGGAGGAAUACCGAUGGCGAAGGCAGCCCCCUGGGCCAAUACUGACGCUCAUGCACGAAAGCGUGGGGAGCAAACAGGAUUAGAUACCCUGGUAGUCCACGCCCUAAACGAUGUCAACUAGUUGUCGGGUCUUCAUUGACUUGGUAACGAAGCUAACGCGUGAAGUUGACCGCCUGGGGAGUACGGUCGCAAGAUUAAAACUCAAAGGAAUUGACGGGGACCCGCACAAGCGGUGGAUGAUGUGGAUUAAUUCGAUGCAACGCGAAAAACCUUACCUACCCUUGACAUGUACGGAACCU
rnacentral:rRNA from 1 species